rnacentral:rRNA from 1 species
GAUGAACGCUAGCUACAGGCUUAACACAUGCAAGUCGAGGGGAAACGACAUCGAAAGCUUGCUUUUGAUGGGCGUCGACCGGCGCACGGGUGAGUAACGCGUAUCCAACCUGCCCACCACUUGGGGAUAACCUUGCGAAAGUAAGACUAAUACCCAAUGAUAUCUCUAGAAGACAUCUGAAAGAGAUUAAAGAUUUAUCGGUGAUGGAUGGGGAUGCGUCUGAUUAGCUUGUUGGCGGGGUAACGGCCCACCAAGGCUACGAUCAGUAGGGGUUCUGAGAGGAAGGUCCCCCACAUUGGAACUGAGACACGGUCCAAACUCCUACGGGAGGCAGCAGUGAGGAAUAUUGGUCAAUGGGCGAGAGCCUGAACCAGCCAAGUAGCGUGCAGGAUGACGGCCCUAUGGGUUGUAAACUGCUUUUAUAAGGGAAUAAAGUGAGCCUCGUGAGGCUUUUUGCAUGUACCUUAUGAAUAAGGACCGGCUAAUUCCGUGCCAGCAGCCGCCGCCG